AGUUAAGUGACUAAGCGUACACGGUGGAUGCCUAGGCAAUCAGAGGCGAAGAAGGACGUGCUAAUCUGCGAAAAGCUUGGAUGAGUCGAUAAGAGGCGUUUAAUCCAAGAUAUCCGAAUGGGGAAACCCAGUAGAUGAAGAAUCUACUAUCACUUGUUGAAUACAUAGGCAAGUGAAGCAAACCGGGAGAACUGAAACAUCUAAGUACCCCGAGGAAAAGAAAUCAACCGAGAUUUUGUAAGUAGCGGCGAGCG
rnacentral:rRNA from 1 species